UGCCAAGCGAUUUGGCUAAGGACUGAAAAUCCUUAGGUCGCCGGUUCGACCCCGGCCCUGUCCA
rnacentral:tRNA from 1 species